rnacentral:rRNA from 1 species
UACAGAGGGUGCAAGCGUUAAUCGAAGAUUACUGGGCGUAAAGGGCGCGUAGGCGCACUGUUAGUCAGGCGUGAAAGUCCUGGGCUCAACCUGGGAACUGCGUCUGAUACUGGAUGGCUUGAAUCCGGGAGAGGGAUGCAGAAUUCCAGGUGUAGCGGUGAAAUGCGUAGAUAUCUGGAGGAAUACCGGUGGCGAAGGCGGCAUCCUGGACCGGCAUUGACGCUGAGGAGCGAAAGCCAGGGGAGCAACGGG